GGCGAGGGGAAUGAAAAAGAACCUGAAACCGUGUACGUACAAGCAGUGGGAGCACAGGUUUACCUGUGUGACUGCGUACCUUUUGUAUAAUGGGUCAGCGACUUAUAUUCUGUAGCAAGGUUAACCGCAUAGGGGAGCCGGAGGGAAACCGAGUCUUAACCGGGCGUUAAGUUGCAGGGUAUAGACCCGAAACCCGGUGAUCUAGCCAUGGGCAGGUUGAAGGUUGGGUAACACUAACUGGAGGACCGAACCGAC
rnacentral:rRNA from 1 species